rnacentral:rRNA from 1 species
UACGGAGGGUGCAAGCGUUAUCCGGAUUCACUGGGUUUAAAGGGUGCGUAGGUGGGUUGGUAAGUCAGUGGUGAAAUCUCCGUGCUUAACAUGGAAACUGCCAUUGAUACUACUGGUUUUGAAUUUUCCGGAGGUAAGCGGAAUAUGUCAUGUAGCGGUGAAAUGCUUAGAUAUGACAUAGAACACCAAUUGCGAAGGCAGCUUACUACAGGGACAUUGACACUGAGGCACGAAAGCGUGGGGAUCAAACAGG